GGACGAAAAGACCCCGUGAACCUUUACUAUAGCUUAGUAUUGGCUUUGGAUAAGUAAUGUGUAGGAUAGGUGGGAGACUUUGAAGUGGCGUCGCUAGGCGUUGUGGAGUCAUUGUUGAAAUACCACCCUUUGCUUAUCUAGAGUCUAACCCACACUGUGGGGACAGUGCUUGAUGGGUAGUUUGACUGGGGUGGUCGCCUCCAAAAGAGUAACGGAGGCUUCUAAAGGUUCCCUCAGCACGCUUGGUAACCGUGCGUAGAGUGCAAUGGCAUAAGGGAGCUUGACUGAGAGACCUACAAGUCGAUCAGGUACGAAAGUAGAGCAUAGUGAUCCGGUGGUUCCGCAUGGAAGGGCCAUCGCUCAACGGAUAAAAGGUACGCCGGGGAUAACAGGCUGAUACUGCCCAAGAGUCCAUAUCGACGGCAGUGUUUGGCACCUCGAUGUCGGCUCAUCUCAUCCUGGGGCUGGAGCAGGUCCCAAGGGUACGGCUGUUCGCCGUUUAAAGCGGUACGUGAGCUGGGUUUAGAACGUCGUGAGACAGUUCGGUCCCUAUCUUCCGUGGGUGUAGGAUAUUUGAGAAGAGUUGCCCCUAGUACGAGAGGACCGGGGUGAACAUACCUCUGGUGUACCUGUCAUUCUGCCAAGAGUGCCGCAGGGUAGCUAUGUAUGGACGGGAUAACCGCUGAAAGCAUCUAAGCGGGAAGCCUCCCUUGAGAUUAGGUAUCUUUGAACCGUGAUAGACCAUCACGUUGAUAGGCCGGGUGUGGAAGCGCAGUAAUGUGUGUAGCUAACCGGU
rnacentral:rRNA from 1 species